ensembl:snRNA U2 U2 spliceosomal RNA
GUGUUUUCUCCGUAGACAAGCACAGAUCAAGUGUAGUAUCUGUUCUUAUCGGUUUAAUAUCUGGUACGUCCUCUAUACGAGGACCACAUAUUAAGAGGGGCUUGCUCCGUCCGCUCCACGCAUCGACCUGGCAUUGCAGUACCUCCGGGAACAGUGCACCUCCU